rnacentral:rRNA from 1 species
GGCGAACGGGUGAGUAAUGCAUCGGAACGUGCCCAUGUCGUGGGGGAUAACGUAGCGAAAGCUACGCUAAUACCGCAUACGCCCUGAGGGGGAAAGCGGGGGAUUCUUCGGAACCUCGCGCGAUUGGAGCGGCCGAUGUCGGAUUAGCUAGUAGGUGAGGUAAAGGCUCACCUAGGCGACGAUCCGUAGCGGGUCUGAGAGGAUGAUCCGCCACACUGGGACUGAGACACGGCCCAGACUCCUACGGGAGGCAGCAGUGGGGAAUUUUGGACAAUGGGCGCAAGCCUGAUCCAGCCAUGCCGCGUGAGUGAAGAAGGCCUUCGGGUUGUAAAGCUCUUUCGGCAGGAACGAAACGGUGAGGGUUAAUACCUCUCAUCAAUGACGGUACCUGAAGAAGAAGCACCGGCUAACUACGUGCCAGCAGCCGCGGUAAUACGUAGGGUGCGAGCGUUAAUCGGAAUUACUGGGCGUAAAGCGUGCGCAGGCGGUUUCGUAAGACAGAUGUGAAA